rnacentral:rRNA from 1 species
GGCGUGAUGACGAGGCACUACGGUGCUGAAGCAACAAAUGCCCUGCUUCCAGGAAAAGCCUCUAAGCAUCAGGUAACAUCAAAUCGUACCCCAAACCGACACAGGUGGUCAGGUAGAGAAUACCAAGGCGCUUGAGAGAACUCGGGUGAAGGAACUAGGCAAAAUGGUGCCGUAACUUCGGGAGAAGGCACGCUGACACGUAGGUGAAGUGAUUUACUCACGGAGCUGAAGUCAGUCGAAGAUACCAGCUGGCUGCAACUGUUUAUUAAAAACACAGCACUGUGCAAACACGAAAGUGGACGUAUACGGUGUGACGCCUGCCCGGUGCCGGAAGGUUAAUUGAUGGGGUCAGCGCAAGCGAAGCUCCUGAUCGAAGCCCCGGUAAACGGCGGCCGUAACUAUAACGGUCCUAAGGUAGCGAAAUUCCUUGUCGGGUAAGUUCCGACCUGCACGAAUGGCGUAAUGAUGGCCAGGCUGUCUCCACCCGAGACUCAGUGAAAUUGAACUCGCUGUGAAGAUGCAGUGUACCCGCGGCAAGACGGAAAGACCCCGUGAACCUUUACUAUAGCUUGACACUGAACAUUGAGCCUUGAUGUGUAGGAUAGGUGGGAGGCUUUGAAGUGUGGACGCCAGUCUGCAUGGAGCCGACCUUGAAAUACCACCCUUUAAUGUUUGAUGUUCUAACGUGGACCCGUAAUCCGGGUUGCGGACAGUGUCUGGUGGGUAGUUUGACUGGGGCGGUCUCCUCCUAAAGAGUAACGGAGGAGCACGAAGGUUGGCUAAUCCUGGUCGGACAUCAGGAGGUUAGUGCAAUGGCAUAAGCCAGCUUGACUGCGAGCGUGACGGCGCGAGCAGGUGCGAAAGCAGGUCAUAGUGAUCCGGUGGUUCUGAAUGGAAGGGCCAUCGCUCAACGGAUAAAAGGUACUCCGGGGAUAACAGGCUGAUACCGCCCAAGAGUUCAUAUCGACGGCGGUGUUUGGCACCUCGAUGUCGGCUCAUCACAUCCUGGGGCUGAAGUAGGUCCCAAGGGUAUGGCUGUUCGCCAUUUAAAGUGGUACGCGAGCUGGGUUUAGAACGUCGUGAGACAGUUCGGUCCCUAUCUGCCGUGGGCGCUGGAGAACUGAGGGGGGCUGCUCCUAGUACGAGAGGACCGGAGUGGACGCAUCACUGGUGUUCGGGUUGUCAUGCCAAUGGCACUGCCCGGUAGCUAAAUGCGGAAGAGAUAAGUGCUGAAAGCAUCUAAGCACGAAACUUGCCCCGAGAUGAGUUCUCCCUGAGACUUAGAGUCUCCUGAAGGAACGUUGAAGACGACGACGUUGAUAGGCCGGGUGUGUAAGCGCAGCGAUGCGUUGAGCUAACCGGUACUAAUGAACCGUGAGGCUUAACCUUACA